rnacentral:lncRNA from 1 species
GUGAAGUGAAGGAAAAAAUAUAUUCUAUGCACAUAGUAACCAAAAGAAAGCAGGAGUGUUUCUACUAAUAAUAGUUAAAAUAGAAUUUAAAUGCAAAGAAUUCACAAGAAACAAAGGACAUUAGGCAGAAUAAUUAGAAAUGUUUAUGCACUCAAUAACAGAACAUUAAAAUAUUGUGAAGCAAAAUCAUAAAAUAAGUAAAUCAACUAUAAUGGAAAAAAUAAAAAUCAUAAAUAUUAAAAAAAAAACUGAGGCAGAAAUCAAUAGUGCAAGUAAAAGGACAGUAGACAGUAACUUAAAACUGUAAGGAGGAGCUCCCAUCAUGGGCUUAGAGGUAAUGAACCCCACUGGUGGUCAUGAGGACACGGGUUCAAUCCCUGACCUCACUCAAUGGGUUAAAGGAUCCAGCGUUGCCAUUAGGUCGCAGACGCGGCUUGGAUCCGGUUGUUGUAGUUGUGUGGUGUGGGCCGCAGCGGCAGCUCCGAUUUGACCCCUAGCCUGGGAACUUUCAUAUGCCACAGGAGUGGCCCUAAAAAAAAAAGAAAAAAAGCAGAACACCUGAAUAGACACUCUUCCAAAGAUAUACAGUUGGCUGUCAGGCACAUAAGAUGCUCAAUAUUGCCAAUCCUCAGAGAUACACAAAUCAAAACCACAAUGAGGUAUCAUCACCUCACAUCUGUCAGAAUGGCUAGCAUCAAAAUGAACACAAAUAACAAAUAUUGGCAAGGAUGUGGAGAAAAGGGAAUUCUUGUAAACUGUUAGUAGGAAUGUAAAUUGGUGCAGCCACUGUGGAAAACAGCAUGUAGGUUCCUCAAUAAACUAAAAAUAGAAACUACCAUAAGAUUCAGCAAUUCAACUCCUGGGUAUAUAUCUAAAGAAAAGGAAAACACUAACUUGAAAAGAUACAUGCACCCCAAAGUUCACAAUAACAUCAUUUACAAUAGCCAAGAUAUAGAAGCAACAUAAGUGUCCGUCAAUAGAUGAAUAGAUGAAGAGAUUUGGUUUAUGUACACAAUGGAAUACUAUUCAGCCAUAAAGAGUAACGGAAUUAUGCCAUUUGCAACAACAUGGAUGGACCUGGAUAGUAUUAUGCUUAGUGAAAGGACAGUAUUAUGCUUAGUGAAAUAAGUUAGACAGAGGAAGAUAAUACUGUAUGUUGAACUUACGUGUGGAAUCUAAAA